GGCUCAAUGGUCUAGAGGUAUGAUUCGCGCUUUGGGUUCUUCUUCCUAAAUUGCGCGAGGCCCCGGGUUCGAUCCCCGGUUGAGCCC